rnacentral:sRNA from 1 species
UCUCUGCAUUGAGGGAAACAAAUGCUAUCUAGUUUUUUAGGUGUCUUAAGGACGACCAUCCCCAAUAGAGAAGGACCAUUCUUCGGUCAAGGGUAUAUGAGUAGCUGCACUCCCCUGCUAGAACCUCCAAACAAACUCUCCACAUGAAUUUUAAGAUGUUUUCUCUAUU